rnacentral:piRNA from 1 species
AUAAACAUCUUGAGAGCUGAGCAGG